rnacentral:rRNA from 1 species
UACGAAGGGGGACUAGCGUUGCUCGGAAUCACUGGGCGUAAAGGGUGCGUAGGCGGGUCUUUAAGUCAGGGGUGAAAUCCCUCGGCUCAACUGAGGAACUGCCUUUGAAACUGUACGGCUUGAGGCCGGGAGGGGGUAGCGGAAUUCCCAGUGUAGCGGUGAAAUGCGUAGAUACUGGGAGGAACACCAGUGGCGAAGGCGCUACCUGGACCGGUUCUGACGCUGAGGCGCGAAAGCGUGGGUAGCAAACAGG